UACGGGGGGGGCAAGCGUUGUUCGGAAUUACUGGGCGUAAAGGGCUCGUAGGCGGCCAACUAAGUCAGACGUGAAAUCCCUCGGCUUAACCGGGGAACUGCAUCUGAUACUGGAUGGCUUGAGUUCGGGAGAGGGAUGCGGAAUUCCAGGUGUAGCGGUGAAAUGCGUAGAGAUGUGGAGGAAUACCGAUGGCGAAGGCAGCCCCCUGGGCCAGUACUGACGCUCAUGCACGAAAGCGUGGGGAGCAAACAGG
rnacentral:rRNA from 1 species